CCUACGGGCGGCAGCAGUGGGGAAUAUUGGGCAAUGGGCGCAAGCCUGACCCAGCAACGCCGCGUGAAGGAAGAAGGCUCUCGGGUUGUAAACUUCUUUUGACAGGGAAGCGUAGAAGACGGUACCUGUCGAUUAAGCCACGGCUAACUACGUGACAGGAGCCUCGGUAAUUGGCAGGGAGCAAGCGUUGUCCGGAUUUACGGGGUGUAAAGGGCGUGUAACCGGGUUGACAAAUCAGAUGUGAAAUCCUGCGGCUUAACCGCAGAACUGCAUUUGAAACUGUUGAUCUUGAGUGCUCGAGAGGCAUACGGAAUGCGUGGUGUAGCGGUGAAAUGCAUAGAUAUUAGGAGGAACACCAGUGGCGAAGGCAGUCUGCUGGACAGCAACUGACGGUGAGGCGCGAAAGCGUGGGGAGCGAACAGGAUUAGAUACCCUGGUAGUC
rnacentral:rRNA from 1 species